CUAGUACGAGAGGACCGGGAAGGACGCACCUCUGGUGUACCAGUUAUCGUGCCUACGGUAAACGCUGGGUAGCCAAGUGCGGAGAGGAUAACUGUUGAAAGCAUAUAAGUAGUAAGCCCACCCCAAGAUGAGUGCUCUCUCCUCCGACUUCCCUAGAGCCUCCGGUAUCACAGCCGAGACAGCGACGGGUUCUCCACCCAU
rnacentral:rRNA from 1 species